GUUACAUUUUGGUCCACGUCGAUAAGUUCCUUCGUUCCUCCAAUAAUAAGGCUAUGGGCGGUAAUUUUUAACCGGUAUGCUGGUCAGCAGCUUGGUUGCUUCAUACCGCCUCACCGUCAUCUUUAUUUUUUCAUAUCCUCAUGAUUCUGUCAUUGUGGCGUCUCCUUACUUCCUUGUUGGGUUUUCUUCCUUCCCGGCGUUUUCUCCAAGGCUACUCGCCACUCUUGCUUGGUUUCAGGCGCCAUCUCACAACCUGUUUAUUUAUCAAUAGGUCUAGGUUACACCAUUUUUCCUCCAUAUGACACCUCCCCUGUCCUCUGUUUUAUUUAUCUAUAACCCAUAUCCUCUGUGGGUCUCUUCAUCUUCACGCUUCCACCAUGGCUCUUAAUUUUUGACCUACCUUUCAUGAUUCUUUCUUCAAAGAGGAACCCUUUUUCUUGGUUGAUUUACACCGGAUAUGGCGCUCUGAGAAAGCUGAUGUCCCUCGCUUCCCCUUAAGUAAUUGGAGGAGAGCGGCCGCCAUGUUUUCUCUAUAGUCUACACCGCCUCAAAAUUAGACUUUCAUAUUAAUGCUCUUACCUUCUCUCUCCAUAUUUACGCCGCCACCAAUUCUAUUUUCUUUGACACAGGAGACUUCGCUUGGGGUUUCUCUGAUAUGAAUGCCAUCUACGUAGCGUGCUAUUUAUUUCCCGACAUCCACUUUUAUUCUUCCUUUCUUAUUCCUUCGCCAUCCAUCUCACAAACAUCCUUUCCACUUUUGUAUUUUCUCUGCAAAUCAAGUUGUCGGUGGUGAUCAUCGAUCCAUUUCGUAUGAUACUAUCAAUUCAACCACUCCGGUAUACUGUUCACAACUUUAAUUGACAGGCGUCAUCAUGGUAAGGAUCAAAAAUUGUACCCGAGGAUCUACUUGAGUUAUACCAAAGGUAAAUUAAGGAACCAACAUUACUUAAUUGCAGCCUUAAUAAUUAGCACUCCGAUCUCUUUUGUUCUCCUCUAUUUAUUUAUUUUGUUGGUUUUAUCAAUUAGGGCACCUAACCAAUCAUCUAUCUCUCUUUCUCUGUCUAUAGUUAGCACUCCAACAACUCUAUUUUUUUCAUCUGUUUAUAGAAACUUUGUACAUAGAUGAUUUAGGAAUUUACUUGAUGGUUUUAUUGUCUAGAUGAAACAAAUUUGAAAUUCCAAACAUUCAUCAAUCUCGGGAACUGAAGUGAAUAAUUUCUUGAAUCUUUCCUUUUCCAGUCAAGUGUUAGAUCAUUUGCCUGAGUGAGUCUUGAUUUGCUUGACUAUCGGCAUACUUAGGUAUUUCAGUUAUUACUUAUUUCCUAAUAUUCUUUGACUGUUGAAUUCCAACACUCCAUUUAAGCUCAUUUGAAUAGAUUUUGUGGUUUAAAAAAAUGUAAUUUUAAUACAUAUGAAGUGUUCGAUAAAAUGCUUAAUGGUUUUUUUGAUUAAAUGCUAUUUUAUUAUAUAUAUUUUUAACAAGAAACCUUUCAAUGUUUUUUUUUUCAAUAUUAUAGCCUUGCCUUGCACAAAGCUGCCAAACAGGAGAUAUUACCUAUAGAAAACCCAGACAAAGUUAGAAGAAUAAGUUCUUAAAAUGUUGAACAUAAUUACAUAAUAGUAACAGUAGAAAUAAUGAUAAUAAUAAUGGUAGCUAACACCUAAAUACAUUAUGAGUUCAGUUUAGCGGAAACAACCAUUAUGUUGCUAAAGAUAAUGAUGAUUUCACUUCUUUCUUCAUGAGUUUAAUAAAAAAAAUGCUUCUCAUCAGGUAGAGUCUAUUUUACCUCCUUUUUUAUUAUUUUCAGUCCAAUCGACAAUGCUUCUCAUAAGGUAGUCUAUUUUAUCUCCUUUUUAUAUUUGUUAUACAUUAAUACAUGUUUAACUUUUGUAGACAUUGGCUUACCAUACACAGGUUUUAUCUUCUUCACUACACAUCAUCGUGGUUACAGCCUCAUAUAUACUCUAUCCUACAAUUUAACCUUAUUGUAAAGCUAAUGAGUUCAUUUUCAUGUAGGGUUUUUUUUAAAUGUGCAAUGCUAUAGUCGGGUAUAAUUAUCAAAAUAUGACAUCCUAAUAGAAACUUUUUGAAAGUUUCAUACAGGUUCGCUUAUAGGUUGCUUAGACAACGAAUGAAACAAAUUAUAAUAACCUUGGGAUCUCUGAAAUCAUAUUAGUCAAAAAAAUUCAGGGAAAAAAAACAUAAUCUCAAAGGUGAGCGUGCGUCAACUUUUAUGUUUUCAUUAUUUUUUCUCAUAAAAUGACGAUUUUGCCCUUGCAGAUCACAGAAGAAAAUGUAAAGAAGCAUAUAUUAGCAAGGAAAGCUCAACUUUCUAGAUAUCUUCUGAUCUGUACGCUGCAUUAUUGAUGGAAAAUCUCUUGCAUAAGCUUUAGAUGAUAACAUUAAAGUGUUCAACUUAGUAGGUGCGUCCCUCUUAUCAAACAUUCAAAAAUAAAAGCAAAUAUUAAUGAGAUUUUAAAUUUAUAGUAGUCAUGACUACGGAGUUGAUUUUCUUAAAGCAAAUGAUAGACAUAUAGCUAACAACCAUGAUUCCUGAAUUAGUGGGUACAGUCUUAGUUUAUGUAAUUUUACAAAAAUACUUUCUUUACAUCAAACAGUAGGUUUUUAAAUAAUAAUAGUAAUAAAAAGAAAAUAAAUAAGUGAGAUUAUUGGAAUCGAAACAUGAAUGAAAUUUUUAGAAAUCUUAAAUAUGGAUAAUAUUUUUGGCCUUAAUACAUGUAGAUACACUAUUGAACCUGGAAUCAUAAGCUAUGACACAUUGUGUAACAAGACUACCAGCUAAAAACUCAGAGUAUAGGAAUGAUCAAGAUUUCCCAAUUGUCUGUUGAAAAAUCUUGCAAGUCUUGCUAGCAACAUCAAUGGGAGUAACUUAUCUCAAGUAAUAACUGAAUCUCUACAUAUCACAAAUGCUUCUAUAUUCAUUUCAACCCUUGAAAAAUGAUUAAAUAUGGAGAAAUUAUAUGCUUCGAGAAACUCCAUUAGACGCUUGCUGUACUGACAUCUUCAUGUUCCUUUAUUUUAGGGAAAUUAAUUAAUAUAAUUGUAAAUGUGUAAACGUAGUUAUAUUAUUGUUAUAAAUGGUGUUUUUUUUUUAUAUUAUAUUUUAUAUCAUUUAA